rfam:Oryza sativa Japonica Group DNA, chromosome 5, cultivar: Nipponbare, complete sequence.
CAACGUUUGACUCUUUGUCUUAUUUAAAAAUUUUCUAUGAUUAGUAUUUUUAUUAUUAGAUGACACAACAUGAAUAUUACUUUAUACAUGACAACUUUUUUAAAAAAAAUUUAUAAAAUUUUCAAAUAAGAUGGACGGUCAAAUGUUG